rnacentral:rRNA from 1 species
GACGAACGCUGGCGGCAUGCCUAAUACAUGCAAGUCGAGCGAACAGAUGAAGUGCUUGCACUUCUGACGUUAGCGGCGAACGGGUGAGUAACACGUAAGGAAUCUACCUAUAAGCGGGGGAUAACAUUCGGAAACGGGUGCUAAUACCGCAUAAUAUCUUCUUCCGCAUGGAAGAAGAUUGAAAGACGGCUCUGCUGUCACUUAUAGAUGACCUUGCGGUGCAUUAGUUAGUUGGUGGGGUAAUGGCCUACCAAGAAGAUGAUGCAUAGCCGACGUGAGGGGGUGAUCGGCCACAUUGGGACAGAGACACGGCCCAAACUCCUACGGGAGGCAGGAGUAGGGAAUCUUCCGCAAUGGGCGAAAGCCUGACGGAGCAAUGCCGCGUGAGUGAAGAAGGACUUCGGGUCGUAAAACUCUGUUAUAAGAGAAGAACAAAUUGUAGAGUAACUGCUACAGUCUUGACGGUAUCUUAUCAGAAAGCCACGGCUAACUACGUGCCAGCCGCCGCGGUAA